GGGGAUUUAGCUCAGCGGCAUAAGCACUUGCCUUACCAGCAAGUAGUUGUGAGUUUAAUCCCCG
rnacentral:tRNA from 1 species